rnacentral:rRNA from 1 species
UCCAAGUGAAGUAGAGGACAGUGGCGGACGGGUGAGUAACGCGUGAGGAACCUGCCUUUCAGAGGGGGACAACAGUUGGAAACGACUGCUAAUACCGCAUAAUGUAUUUCGGAGGCAUCUCUGGGAUACCAAAGGAGCAAUCCGCUGAAAGAUGGGCUCAUAUCUGAUUAGCUAGUUGGUGAGGUAACGGCUCACCAAGGCUGCGAUCAGUAGCCGGCCUGAGAGGGUGAACGGCCACAUUGGGACUGAGACACGGCCCAAACUCC